AGGAGAGUUGGGGCCUUCCAUUCCCUCCAGUAAAUACUUGUUUUUCUUCCACCGCUGAGGCAAAUGCGGGGUGGCUGAUCACCUGGCAGACAUCUUAGGAAACAGGAGCACCGGUCUGGGAAACUGCUGGCCUGGCCUAACACCUGGCGCUGUGGUGCAGGCAAGUGAGUGGUGACACAGUGCUGGCUGGUGGGGGGCAGCUUCCCUCCUGGCCUCAGUGGCCCAUCUGUUCAAUGGGAGUGGGACUUGGUCUCCAAAGUCUUCUACUCUGAAACUUGAUUUUGGGAGGGAAACGUUUGGGGGGAGGUAGAGGGGCCUGAGAUGAGAGAGGUGGGUGGGACACUCGGUUGUGAGGGGUUUGGUAGUGGGGCGCUCCAGGUCUCUGCAGCCACUCCUCUUCUGGCAGCCCCAACACCCCCCAGGCGUUUGACUUCUGGUUCCAGCCAAGGCAGUGUGGGUCACAUGCUCCAAGGCUAGCUUUCACAGAAACUGCAAAGUUCCCGCUGUACCAGCCCCACCUUGCGUCGUCAGCCACCAAGACCUCUUUCUCAUCUGGGUACUGGGCAGCUCCUCUGGCUGGGAUGACCAUGUGUGGAGCUAGCCGUCUCACCAGCAAAAUAUCCUGGUUUUGGCCUAAGGGUAUGCAGCUCUUUCAGAUGAGAAUCUAGUGGAUCCCACCGUGUAGAGGAAAGGUCUGAACACCGCCAGGUGCUGGUGAGGAUGAAAGCGAGCAGGGGCUGGGGGAGCUUCCGACGGCUUUAUUCCUCGACUGGAGAAGAGUAUGGUAAACAGGCAGGCAGAGGCCAAGGCGGGCACAUUUCACUCCUCUGGAAGGAAGAGGCCUCCCCUGGGCCACUGUGCGCUGUCUCUGUCCAUCAGACCAGUGAGGAGGAAGAGGGCUUGGGGACUGGAGUCAGCCCUGACCUUGUGUCGCGUCCCUUCCACACACCGCUGUGGUACCUUGGGCAAGAGGGCAGCCACUGAGGAUUCUUGAGGAGAGAGAGACCAUAGAAUGAAUGAAAGAGUUGGAAAGACUUUAAAGCUCUGGGAGGCUGAAUCCUUUAUUUCGCUGGAAGAAAAACUGAAUGCCAAGAGGGCCUCACUUUCCCCAAAGCUAUACAGCCAUCAGGGGCAAUGCUGGGAUUCCCCCAUGGAUCUCUUGACUCCUAAUACAGUGCUCUUUCUGAUAUGCCAUCUGGCUCCAUAAUGAACAUUGUGUUCCAGGAAAAUCAGUCUGCGCUGAACAGGAUGGAAUUGGGGCAGGACGUCCAGUGAGGAGGACAUUGAGGCAGUAGAGCAGUUGAUUGCCGAAUGACCACCUACCCUGACUUAAAAGAUCAACCUCAGGGAGGAUUGGAGCUUUCUAGAGUCUCUUGGGACAGCAGAAGCACAGGCCGGGUUGGACUGAAUCUUUAAGUGGACAUGAGGGACAAAGUACCUCCUGUUGGUAAACAUCUCACCACCAACCCACUGUGGUGGCUAAAAUCCCACCUUUAGUCCCAGCAACAUAUGAGCAUGUCACCAGGAGGUCUUCACAGGCCUGUCUGCCACCUGAGUGUAGACAUCUUUUGGCCCUGGAGCCCAGAGAGGCUGAAUGUGGAGAGGGUGGAGAGAGGUCUGUAGUCCUCAGAGAAGACUUGCAGCUUUUUCAGAGCCACCAACCCAUAAAAAAAAAAAUCCCCAAACAGAAAAAUCCUAACUGUGGUGACCAGGUACCUCCUGAGACAUGAAGCCUCCACUUACCUGGACCCUGGAGGCCUCUCCGGGCACAGCUGCCAAUGUUGAUCUUAGAUAAGACCACCAGCAAGUAAACAUCCACUGUGCAAAGCUGUGUUAUCUUUGGGGAACUGAAAUGUCCCCUGGGAGUUGGAAACUCCCCUAGCCACAUACCACAGAGUUGAGGAAGGAAGAGCUGAUGGACGGAAGAACCAUGGCGGGAGGAGUCAUCCGGAAGCUACCUCGCUGCCCUGUCAGUUACGGAACAGAGGAGAGAUGCCGGCUGGAGGACACAGCAAAUUUGAACCAAGAGGAGCUUGGAGGAAGCCCGAGCGACCUGGAGGGGACUGGCUGACCUUCCUCAUUCUUUUCAAGUGUGAAUAAUAACCAAGCCCAGUUUGGCAACUCCUUGAGGGUGAGGACGAAGCCCCAUUCUCCUUUUUGGAACUUGGUGGGGCUCAGGAAGCAGGUUCUCUCCAGUCGGUGGCUUUCCUUUCUGUUGCGGGUCUCUUGAGGGCCUGCCUUCAUGAAGGCACAUGAGUGACUCAUCAUUUGUGAAUUAAUUGCUAUAUGUGAAGGGCAUCUGAGAACAAAUUAUCUUCAUAGACUUUUCAUUAUAAUUUUAUUUGUACUGAUAAUUAGUUGGUUUAGCAAGCUCUUUUUUCAUAGAUUUGGCUAAACUUCAGUCUGAAAGAGGCAAAUUCUGGGGUUCUAGAAAGAGAUUUUAUUCUUUGAUAUAGGGCUAUUUGGUGGGGUUGCUUUUUGUCCUAGUUGUAGCUUUUAUAAUUUCGAGAUUCACAUUUUGCAAUAGAAAUAUACAGGCAUACCUUGGAGGCAUUACAGCUUUGGUCCCAGACCACAAUGAAGCAAGUCACACGAAUUUUGUUGGUUUCCCAGUAAAUAUAAAACGUAUGCUGAUACCAUACUAUAGUCUAAGUGUGCAACAGCAUAUGUCUAAAUGAAUAUACAUAUAUAUUUUUUUGAGACAGGUUCUUGCUCUGUCACCCAGGCUGGAGUGCAGUGGCACUAUCAUGGCUCA
rnacentral:lncRNA from 1 species